rnacentral:rRNA from 1 species
AUUGAACGCUGGCGGCAGGCCUAACACAUGCAAGUCGAGCGAGCGGCGGACGGGUGAGUAAUGUCUGGGAAACUGCCUGAUGGAGGGGGCUAACUACUGGAAACGGUAGCUAAUACCGCAUACCAUCAGAUGUGCCCCGAUGGGAUUAGCUAGUAGGUGGGGUAAUGGCUCACCUAGGCGACGAUCCCUAGCUGGUCUGAGAGGAUGACCAGCCACACUGGAACUGAGACACGGUCAAGACUCCUACGGGAGGCAGCAGUGGGGAAUAUUGCACAAUGGGCGAAAGCCUGAUACAGCCAUGCCGCGUGUAUGAAGAAGGCCUUCGGGUUGUAAAGCACUUUCAGCGGGGAGGCGUUACUCGCAGAAGAAGCACCGGCUAACUCCGUGCCAGCAGCCGCGGUAAUAC